rnacentral:rRNA from 1 species
UACAGAGGGUGCAAGCGUUGUUCGGAAUUACUGGGCGUAAAGGGCGCGUAGGCGGCCCGAUAAGUCCCGCGUGAAAGCCCCCGGCUCAACUGGGGAACUGCGCGGGAAACUAUCGGGCUUGAGUUCGGGAGAGGGAAGCGGAAUUCCGGGUGUAGCGGUGAAAUGCGUAGAUAUCCGGAGGAACACCGGUGGCGAAGGCGGCUUCCUGGACCGACACUGACGCUGAGGCGCGAAAGCUAGGGGAGCAAACGGG